GACGAACGCUGGCGGCGUGCCUAAUACAUGCAAGUAGAACGCACAGUUUAUACCGUAGCUUGCUACACCAUAGACUGUGAGUUGCGAACGGGUGAGUAACGCGUAGGUAACCUGCCUGGUAGCGGGGGAUAACUAUUGGAAACGAUAGCUAAUACCGCAUAAUAUUAAUUAUUGCAUGAUAAUUAAUUGAAAGGUGCAAUUGCACCACUACCAGAUGGACCUGCGUUGUAUUAGCUAGUAGGGGAGGUAACGGCUCACCUAGGCGACGAUACAUAGCCGACCUGAGAGGGUGAUCGGCCACACUGGGACUGAGACACGGCCCAGACUCCUACGGGAGGCAGCAGUAGGGAAUCUUCGGCAAUGGACGAAAGUCUGACCGAGCAACGCCGCGUGAGUGAAGAAGGUUUUCGGAUCGUAAAGCUCUGUUGUAAGAGAAGAACGGGUGUGAGAGUGGAAAGUUCACACUGUGACGGUAUCUUACCAGAAAGGGACGGCUAAUUACGUG
rnacentral:rRNA from 1 species